rnacentral:rRNA from 1 species
CCUACGGGGGGCAGCAGUGGGGGAUAUUGGACAAUGGGGGGAACCCUGAUCCAGCGACGCCGCGUGCAGGAAGACGGCUCUAUGAGUUGUAAACUGCUUUUGUACAAGGGUAAACCUGAAUACGUGUAUUCAGCUGAAAGUACUGUACGAAUAAGGAUCGGCUAACUCCGUGCCAGCAGCCGCGGUAAUACGGAGGAUCCAAGCGUUAUCCGGAUUUUUUGGGUUUAAAGGGUGCGUAGGCGGAUUGAUAAGUUAGAGGUGAAAUGUCCGAGCUUAACUCGGGAACUGCCUCUAAUACUGUUGAUUUAGAGAGUAGAUGCGGUAGGCGGAAUGUAUGGUGUAGCGGUGAAAUGCUUAGAGAUCAUACAGAACACCGAUUGCGAAGGCAGCUUACCAAUCUAUAUCUGACGUUGAGGCACGAAAGCGUGGGGAGCAAACAGGAUUAGAUACCCUUGUAGUC